GACGAACGCUGGCGGCGCGCCUAACACAUGCAAGUCGAACGAGCGAGAGAGAGCUUGCUUUCUCGAGCGAGUGGCGAACGGGUGAGUAACGCGUGAGGAACCUGCCUCAAAGAGGGGGACAACAGUUGGAAACGACUGCUAAUACCGCAUAAGCCCACGGCUCGUCAUCGAGCAGGGGGAAAAGGAGCAAUCCGCUUUGAGAUGGCCUCGCGUCCGAUUAGCUAGUUGGUGGGGUAACGGCCCACCAAGGCGACGAUCGGUAGCCGGACUGAGAGGUUGAACGGCCACAUUGGGACUGAGACACGGCCCAGACUCCUACGGGAGGCAGCAGUGGGGAAUAUUGCACAAUGGGGGAAAGCCUGAUGCAGCGACGCCGCGUGGAGGAAGAAGGUCUUCGGAUUGUAAACUCCUGUUGUUCGGGAAGAUAAUGACGGUACCGAACGAAGAAGUGACGGCUAACUACGUG
rnacentral:rRNA from 1 species